rnacentral:sRNA from 4 species
AUGUACCCGUGUACUCCGGCCCUGAGCGCCAUCCACGUCCGCCUAGCGGCGGCUCGCGACGUUUGUUGGCG